rnacentral:tRNA from 1 species
GGCAGCUUGGCACACUGGAAAGAGCCUUGGAUUUAGAGUCAGAAGACCUGGGUUUGAAUCCCAGCUCUGCUG